rnacentral:pre_miRNA from 14 species
AGGAUUCUGCUCAUGCCGGGGUGAGGUAGUAAGUUGUAUUGUUGUGGGGUGUAGGGAUUUUAGGCCCCAAUUAGAAGAUAACUAUACAACUUACUACUUUCCCUAGUGUGGGCAUAUUCA